AUAAAACAGGGUGUCACACCCCGGUCUACAUCUUGGCAGAGACACAUAUACGUAUGUUGUAUACCUGGUUCCUAUUUUGAACAUCUACGUGUACUUUUUGUCUUUUUGACAUCCAUCAGCUAACUUCGUUGAUUUAAGGUAGACCAGAAAAGCCACAUCCCUGAUUGGCAGAUGAGCGGCAACCCUGAUUACAAGCACCUGCUGCUCAUCGGUUCUUUACAAAAUGCUGUUUUGAAUUAGAAUAAAGUUGUACCUAAACACCGAAGAAGGCUGUAAAGAAAGUCAGACCAACAAGAUCAACAAGAGAAUGGGUGGAGAUAAAUCAAAAAACCGAGUGGAUAAGGCAGA